UGCGGAGGGCGUGCUUUAGGACGAUGGUUUUGAACGCCACGCCUUUGAGACGCGCGGUCCGGACGUAUUGCGCGGUCAUGACCUCAGUCAUUGAGGCGCGGGUCAUCCGGGCGAUGUAGCCCAUCCCGUAAAGUGCGAUCGUGAUCACCGGCAGGAAGAAGUUCCAGAAGUUGGCGUCU
rnacentral:ncRNA from 1 species